UUUUUCUAUUUUUAACCAGGUUUUCCGAAGGAAAAAACUGGUUAUUAGAUUGGCGAAUGCGGGCGGGCUGGCUGGCUGGCGGGCUGGCGGAAUAAGCUUGUCCGGGCCAUAACUAUGUCGUUCAUUGUCAGAUUUUAAAAUCAUUUGGCACAUUUGUUCACCAUCAUUGGACGGUGUGUUGCGCGAAAUAAUUACGUCGAUAUCUCCAAGGUCAAGGUCACACUUUGAGUUCAAAGGUCAAAAAUGGCCAUAAAUGAGCUUGUCCUGGCCAUAACUAUGUCAUUCAUUGUGAGAUUUUAAAAUCAUUUGGCACAUUUGUUCACCAUCAUGGGACGGUGUGUCCCACGAAAGAAUCACGUCAAUAUCUCCAAUGUCAAGGUCGCCACGACUAAAAAUAGAUUUAAAAAAAAAAAAAUUACAAAGGGGGUUAAUUUUUUUUGGUCAUUUCAAAAGUUCAGUUUGAGUUUUCUCCCUUUAUCAGAUUUUUUUUUCACAAUGAAAACCUGGUUUUGUGACAAUUUUGUCCCUUGUUGAAAGAUCGUCUAAUAAAUUAAUAAAUGACCACACCCCACAUUAUACCCCCUCUCAACCCCCCCCCCCCCC